rnacentral:rRNA from 1 species
GACGAACGCUGGCGGCGUGCCUAAUACAUGCAAGUAGAACGCAGUUGCGAACGGGUAAGUAACGGGUAGGUAACUGCCUCAUAGCGGGGGGUAACUAUUGGAAACGAUAGCUAAUACCGCAUACUGUGAGAUGGACCUGCGUUGUAUUAGCUAGUUGGUGAGGUAAAGGCCGAACAAGGCGACGAUACAUAGCCGACCUUAGAGGGUGAUCCGCCCCCCUUGGACUGGGGCCAGGCUCCAGCUCCUUCCGGAGGCAGCAGUAGGGAAUCCUCGGAAAUGGACUGAAGUCUGACCGCGCACAGCCGCCUGAGGUAAGGAGGUUUUCGGAUCGUAAAGCUCUGUUGUUUGAGAAGCGGUAACUAACCAGAAAGGGACGGCUAACUACGUGCCAGCAGCCGCGGUAAUAC